rnacentral:rRNA from 1 species
UACGUAGGGGCAAGCGUUAUCCGGAUUUACUGGGUGUAAAGGGAGUGCAGACGGAACUGCAAGUCUGAUGUGAAAGCCCGGGGCUCAACCGCAGAACUGCUUGGUAUACUGCUUGUCUUGAGCCACUUAGGGGCAGUCGGAACAGAUGGUGGAGCGGUGAAAUGCGUAGAUAUCAUCUGGAACGCCAAUGGUGAAAACAGACUGCUGGGAGUGUGCUGACGCUGAGACACGAAAGCCAGGGGAGGCGAACGGGA